rnacentral:rRNA from 1 species
AACGAACGCUGGCGGCAGGCUUAACACAUGCAAGUCGAGCGCCCCGCAAGGGGAGCGGCAGACGGGUGAGUAACGCGUGGGAACGUACCCUUUACUACGGAAUAGCUCCGGGAAACUGGAAUUAAUACCGUAUGUGCCCUUCGGGGGAAAGAUUUAUCGGUAAAGGAUCGGCCCGCGUUGGAUUAGCUAGUUGGUGGGGUAAAGGCCUACCAAGGCGACGAUCCAUAGCUGGUCUGAGAGGAUGAUCAGCCACAUUGGGACUGAGACACGGCCCCAACCCCUACCGGGGGCAGCAGGGGGGGAUAUUGGACAAUGGGCGCAAGCUUGAUCCAGCCAUGCCGCGUGAGUGAUGAAGGCCUUAGGGUUGUAAAGCUCUUUCACCGAUGAAGAUAAUGACGGUAGUCGGAGAAGAAGCCCCGGCUAACUUCGUGCCAGCCGCCGCGGUAAUAC